AGGAGGUGUAUAGAAGAGGAUAAGUUGGUAUAGCUUGCUAUGAGGUCUACUAUGUUGUGGUUGAAGGAUUGAUGUAGGCCACGGGAAAUCUGUUGAGUCAGCAACACAUGGCUAACCUGGACAUUCUGGAUCGAGGAAGAAUUCCUUAUCCCCGACGGUUAUGCUCCCUGAAGACCGUGCAGUCCUCUCUGAAUGCGGAAAUAGUU
rnacentral:misc_RNA from 1 species